GACGAACGCUGGCGGCGUGCUUAACACAUGCCAGUCGAACGGAAAGGCCCUGCUUUUGUGGGGUGCUCGAGUGGCGAACGGGUGAGUAACACGUGAGUAACCUGCCCUUGACUUUGGGAUAACUUCAGGAAACUGGGGCUAAUACCGGAUAGGAGCUCCUGCUGCAUGGUGGGGGUUGGAAAGUUUCGGCGGUUGGGGAUGGACUCGCGGCUUAUCAGCUUGUUGGUGGGGUAGUGGCUUACCAAGGCUUUGGCGGGUAGCCGGCCUGAGAGGGUGACCGGCCACAUUGGGACUGAGAUACGGCCCAGACUCCUACGGGAGGCAGCAGUGGGGAAUAUUGCACAAUGGGCGGAAGCCUGAUGCAGCAACGCCGCGUGCGGGAUGACGGCCUUCGGGUUGUAAACCGCUUUCGCCUGUGACGAAGCGUGAGUGACGGUAAUGGGUAAAGAAGCACCGGCUAACUACGUG
rnacentral:rRNA from 1 species